GAUGAACGCUGGCGGCGUGCCUAAUACAUGCAAGUCGAGCGGACUGGCAGGAAUCUUUCCCCUCCUGCGUUUUAGGGGCGGGGGUGUGUGACACAUGUAUGCCCCCUCUCUUCAAGACGGGGAUAUUCACCGGACCGGGUAUCUUACCGCAGAUAAUUUAUAACCUCAUAUUUCGUUAGAAUAAAAGACCUAUCAUUUUGCUUCUUGAGGAUGCUCCUGCGGCGCAUUAGCUAGUUGGUGUGGUAACGGCCCACCAAGGCGACGAUGCGUAGCCGACCUGAGAGGGUGAUCGGCCACACUGGAACUGAGACACGGCCCAGACUCCUACGGGAGGCAGCAGUAGGGAAUCUUCCGCAAUGGGCGAAAGCCUGACGGAGCAACGCCGCGUGAGUGAUGAAGGUUUUCGGAUCGUAAAACUCUGUUAUUAGGGAAGAACAACUGUGUAAGUAACUGCUCACGGCGUGACGGUACUUAAGCAGAAAGCCACGGCUAACUACGUG
rnacentral:rRNA from 1 species